GCUUCUUUCCUGUCGACGCCGUGCAGUCAGACGCGGGAACGGACAAGGAAGAGGUGGUGCAUCAGCGAGGAGGUGAAGAAGGAGACAAAACAGGUUGGUGCGCCCUGUAAAAGAAAAAGGGUAAAUCGCGAAGCAAGUUUUGACUCGGUCAGUCAACAACACCCGGAGCAGCCAUCUUGUCAGUGCAGCAGAUAACUCAAGGCCAGGAGCAGCUGAUCAGCCGACCUGAGUGAGCCGGAUGGUGUGUGCAGGGCACGGCAGUUCAGAAAGCCCAAGGACUUCAAAGCGGAGAGAUGGCAGGAUCUGCCCAAUUUCCAGACAAACUCUUUUUAAACUAUUUUUAUGGACCUCUUUUUGAACUGGUUUACGAACGUCUUUUUGAACUAUUUUAUGGACCUAUUUUGGAACUAUUUUACAAACUCUUUUUGAACUGACCUUUCCUGUGAAUUGUUUACGACCUUCUCUGUGAACUUUUUGCGACCUUUGUCCUUUGGAAACAGCGGUGACCAUGUGGUCAGGGAGGGUCCAAAAUAAAAGAAAGAGGCGUGCAAUCUUUUGGCAGAGCGUGCUGAGAUACUGUGCAAGGGUACAGUGUACAGACGACUCUCCUCAAUAUUGAGUCCAA